ensembl:miRNA
CCUUCAAAGUAAAAGCUGCAGCACUAAGCCACAACUUUUACUUUGAAGG